GGCCUAACACAUGCAAGUCUAGGGGGUGUAGCAAUACAUCACCGGCGGACGGGUGCGUAACACGUGGGAAUAUACCUUUUGGUUCGGAACAACGCAGGGAAACUUGCGCUAAUACCGAAUGUGCCCUUACGGGGAAAGAUUUAUCGCCAAAGGAUUAGCCCGCGUAGGAUUAGCUAGUUGGUGAGGUAAUGGCUCACCAAGGCUCCGAUCCUUAGCUGUUCUGAGAGGAAGAUCAGCCACACUGGGACUGAGACACGGCCCAGACUCCUACGGGAGGCAGCAGUUGGGAAUCUUGGACAAUGGGGGAAACCCUGAUCCAGCCAUGCCGCGUGAGUGAUGAAGGCCUUCGGGUUGUAAAGCUCUUUUACCCGGGACGAUAAUGACGGUACCCGUAGAAGAAGCUCCGGCUAACUUCGUGCCAGCAGCCGCGGUAAUACGAAGGGGGCUAGC
rnacentral:rRNA from 1 species